UUUUUUUUUUUUAAGUUGAACAGUUGACUCUCUCCUAGUUGUUCCAGUCGCCUGCUGAAAGGGUGCUGGGAUCUGUGUGAUUUCCCGUGCAGAGACCCACUGUGCUGGCUGAAACAAAGGUGCUGCCUGGGAAUCUCCUGGCCAGCUUAAAAGGGCAACCAGACCAGUGUAUUUUGUACGAAGAGCUGCCGCACUGGCACGCCAGCAAAACAGCAGCUCUGGUGACCCGCAGGGCUUCUCCGCCUAGCAAUCUCCAGGUCUUUGGGCAAUAAAGAUCUGUCUGGAAAUGCAGCAUCCACUCACCUUCUGUGCUUCCACUGGGAUCUGCAAUCCUGAGCUGCUCCUAAAAGUUUGCAGAAGAGGAGACCAAGGUAUGGAGAGCUUGAGCACAACGAUGGCAGUAGUGAGGAUUAUACUUUGAAGCAUCGAUCAAGACUAACAUGUACCAUGUAAAACAUGACGUUGUGCUCCAAAAUCCUGAACUGAUGAUAUAUUAAAUUUUACCAUAAUUACAGGUAUUGUGUUGGUGUAGUAUUUAGGAAAUAAAUAAAACCAUAAUGUAGAAACCA
rnacentral:lncRNA from 13 species